UAAUGUCUCAUUUCUAAUUCUAUUGAUUCCUUGAAAAGAGCAAGUCUCAAAGACUGUGGCUAUUCUUAGCAAUUUUGCCUCCUCCCCCACCAUGAUCGCUGCCUCUGAGAGAGGAAGGAGGAGGCCCGCAGGGACUCACUCUUGUCAGCUGGGCAGCAGGGAUUCCUGCCCUACAGAUUAGAGAAACCCCAAAAUAACAGUGACCUAAACAAAAAAGUCCAGGGAUACUGUGGUAGCUUCACUAGGUAAUCAGGAACUUCAUCUCCUCUCGCUCUGCCAUCCUUGGCAGCUACUUCCAGCUUCAAGACCAUCUCAUGUUCCAGGAAGGCUGCUGUAACCUCUGUCAUCACAUCCUUUUCUGGGCAGCAGAAAAGACAAAAAGGAGGCAUCUCCCAGUUUUUUCUGUUGUAUUAGCCAGAACUUAGUCUUGUGACUAUAUCUAGCUGUAAGAGAGGCUGGGAAAGACAUCCUUAUAGGCUGGUUCAUCACCAUCUUGAAUAAAAUUGUUUUUCUGUAACUAAAGAAGGAGAGGAUAAAUAUUGGGGGGAAAGUAUUUUCUGCAACAGUUGGGCAAAAAUGUGGCCUAGAGAAAAGCCCAUAAGGAUAUGUAGUUGCCAGCUGAAGGAUAAUUUUGGUAU
rnacentral:lncRNA from 1 species